ACUCUCGGGGGUAGAGCACUGGAUGGGCUAUGGGGGCUUACCGCCUUACUGAUCCUAACCAAACUCCGAAUACCGAGAAGUACUAUCCGGCAGACACACAGUGGGUGCUAACGUCCAUUGUGGAGAGGGAAACAACCCUGACCGCCAGUUAAGGUCCCUAAGUUAUGGCUAAGUGGGAAAGGAUGUAGAACUCCCAAAACAACCAGGAUGUUGGCUUAGAAGCAGCCAUCAUUUAAAGAAAGCGUAACAGCUCACUGGUCUAAAUAAGGGGUUCCGCGCCGAAAAUGUACCGGGGCUCAAGCCAUACACCGAAACUGCGGGUGCACACUUUGUGUGCGCGGUAGCGGAGCGUUCUGUAAGUCUGCGAAGGGAGACCCGUGAGGGCUCCUGGAGAUAUCAGAAGUGCGAAUGCUGACAUGAGUAACGAUAAAGGGGGUGAGAGACCCCCUCGCCGAAAGACCAAGGGUUCCUGCUUAAAGUUAAUCUGAGCAGGGUUAGCCGGCCCCUAAGGCGAGGCCGAAA
rnacentral:rRNA from 1 species